rnacentral:rRNA from 1 species
AUACGGAGGAUCCGAGCGUUAUCCGGAUUUAUUGGGUUUAAAGGGUGCGCAGGCGGCCAUUUAAGUCAGCGGUUAAAUCGUGGGGCUCAACCCCAUUCUGCCGUUGAUACUGGGUGGCUUGAUUGCGGUCGAGGUUGGCGGAAUUCGUUGUGUAGCGGUGAAAUGCAUAGAUAUGACGAAGAACACCGAUUGCGUAGGCAGCUGACCAGACCGCAAAUGACGCUCAUGCACGAAAGUGCGGGGAUCGAACAGGAUUAGAUACCCUGGUAGUCCGCACAGUAAACGAUGAAUACUUGUUUUCGGCGAUAUAAUGUCGAAGGCAAAGCGAAAGCGAUAAGUAUUCCACCUGGGGAGUACGCCGGCAACGGUGAAACUCAAAUGAAUUGACGGGG